UGUGCUUGCAGGAAAGUUUUCAGAUGUGCACACUAGCAAGCAAAGUCACUGCUGCCACCGUCCUUUUCCUCGGACAGAACAGAGAUGUUUAGAAAGCAAUUUUAUCUGCAAGCAUGGAUUAGUGCAGGAAGAGGCAGAGAAAUUGAAAAGGGGUGACAGGCUCAGGAGCGGGGACUCAGGCGGGCAGAGGGGGGGUGAGAUGUGGUCCCUGCCCUCCCUGCCAGAGCCUCCCCAGCGCCAGGGCCUCGGGAAGAGGAGGGAAGGGUCUACAAAAGGAGACGGGCGGCCCCAUCAAGUGGCAGCUCGGCAAAUUGCAGGGAAAUGCGACUGAAUGGACUGUGCUCCAGGAGGACGGCUAAAUAUGAGACACCUAAAGGAAAGACCAGCUGAUUUGCAUCCACCUCAGCAUGAGGUAUCCCACAA